GGUGAACGCUGGUGGCGUGCUUAAGACAUGCAAGUCGAACGGCAGUCUUCGGACUGUAGUGGCGCACGGGUGAGUAACGCGUAACUGACCUAACCCAAAGUCGCGGAUAACGAUUCGAAAGAAUCGCUAAUACGUGAUGUGCUGUCAGAUUGUGUUCUGCCAGUAAAGAUUGAUUGCUUUGGGAUGGGGUUGCGUUCCAUCAGCUAGUUGGUGGGGUAAAGGCCCACCAAGGCGACGACGGAUAGCCGGCCUGAGAGGGUGGCCGGCCACAGGGGCACUGAGACACGGGUCCCACUCCUACGGGAUGCAGCAGUUAGGAAUCUUCCACAAUGGGCGAAAGCCUGAUGGAGCGACGCCGCGUGGGGGAUGUAGGUCUUCGGAUCGUAAACCUCUGAAUCAGGGACGAAAGACACUUCGGUGGGAUGACGGUACCUGAGUAAUAGCACCGGCUAACUCCGUGCCAUCCGCCGCCGUAACAC
rnacentral:rRNA from 1 species